GGGUUUAUAACAAAAAAAAUACUAUCUCCAUUGGUAUGUGGAGAUAUGAGGCCUUUUAGGAAAUCCCAAAGUAAAUCCAUGAGAGCUUAUGUUCAAAGUGGACAAUAUCAUACCAUUGUGGAGAGUCGUGAUUCCUAACAUGGU